GCAUCAGAAACCAGCACACCAGAGCACCAGGGCGGGGGGCUUCUCCGCAGCAAGUUUCCAAACAAGCCCUCAGUGAACAUCAUUGAAGCGUGACUGCCUGUCUGCAGGGAGAAGGAUUCCAUUUUUCUUCUCAGCUGGUCCCCAGGCCCACGGGCACAGGGAGAGGGACGACUGCAGCAGUGGGGAGGAGGUGCAGCUAGCUGCACAGUUCUCUCUUCUCCUUGCCCUAGUCAGAUGAAGGAGGCUGAACUACAAACCCAAAUUCUGCAAAAAAAUAAACAUAAGCCACAAAACUAAAAGGCCUGGCCCCAUUCUGGAAAAGGCAAAGCUGCAUGAGACACAGCCUUCUGCCUCGCCUCUCCUGGACUGGCUUCCUCUUUGAGAAAAUGCACAAAGCCCUGGGAGAUGACAAGCACAAGGACUGACUCAAGCUGUGUCUUUCAGACCAAGGAACAUCAGAGAAGCUGUGGGGCUGCCUGCCAGGCAGGAUCAUGGCUGCCAUCAAGCCUUUUCUGGAUCCAGCCAUCAAGAACAUGUUGUGGUGUGAUGCACACCUUUGCAAGCGUGUAAGAUGUUACCUGGUUUGUCUCUUUUGGAAAACAAAAAUCAGAAGGCCGCAUUCUAGAGGGCAGAGAAAUUCCCCCAAAGACUGAGCUGGUUGCCUGCAUCCUCUAUCUUCUUUGACCCUUAUGACUGAAAGAUCAUCAGUUUGGAAGGUUCUGGUCCAAUUUAUUUAGGAAGUAUCUCUUGGAGUUUCAGAAAUGCUAGCUUGGACAACUGAAAAGUCACAUCACAUCUGGCAUUCUGGGGGCUACUAAAACACCCCUUCUGGAGUAGAAGCUGCUGGAAGGCAGGCCUGAGCCAUUCACCACGGACAGGAAGAGCAGCCCUGGCUAUCACCACUCGCCUCUGGGGUUUUCAUAUCUUGCCAUCUCAUCCAGGGUUCCGUGAGUUACCCAGGGUCCUCAUGUCCUUCCUUAGAGCCUGAGUGGUGUGAGGUGACAGGUCUCUCUCUCUCCACUGCCCCUUUCUGGUUUAAAAAAAUGGUGCUUGAUGAGGGAAGGUAGACUCUUCCCUAGGACUGACGAGUUACGGCUGCCAGAUGCCUGCAUGGGAAGAGGUGGACCUCUGCAUCUUCCAUUGGUGGCCAAAGAUGGAUGUGGGAGAACCACACCUAGCACAAGCCUGGUACUCAGUAAAUAUUUGUUGAAAUGAAUGGUAAGAGCAUUGGUCCCCAAGCCAGAGAGCCAGAAGCCAUCACCAAAUGACCGCCCCUUCCUUCCGGUCUACAAGAGCUCUCAAGGCUGGGUCUGCCACCACUCUGCUUUGCCCAAGUGUGGCAGCACUGGGGAGGAGAGACAGGAUAAAGGGCAGAUGUCAGCAAUAUUAAGGGCUUCCUCAUGGGAGGGCAUGAGGCUCCACUCAUUGUCUUGUGACUUCCAUCCCUGCUGAAUGGGGCUGCAAGGCCAAGGCUCCUUAGGGGAGAGGUCCUUACCUCUGAUCCACUUAGAGCAAUAACCACUUUUUAAAUGUAAAAUAAAAAGACAAAUGAAAAGGCA
rnacentral:sRNA from 1 species